rnacentral:tRNA from 1 species
GCCUGGGUGGCUUAGUCAGUUAAGUGUCCAACUUCGGCUCAGGUCAUGAUCUCACAGUUUGUGGGUUCGAGCCCCGCCUUGGGCU